rnacentral:rRNA from 1 species
ACGCUCGACACCUACGGGAGGGCAGCAGUAGGGAAUCUUCCACAAUGGGCGCAAGCCUGAUGGAGCAACACCGCGUGAGUGAAGAAGGGUUUCGGCUCGUAAAGCUCUGUUGUUGGAGAAGAACGUGCGUGAGAGUAACUGUUCACGCAGUGACGGUAUCCAACCAGAAAGUCACGGCUAACUACGUGCUAGCAGCCGCGGUAAUCUGAGGCGGGCUGGCAAGGC